UACGAAGGGUGCAAACGUUUGCUCGGAAUUAUUGGGCGUAAAGCGCACGUAGGCGGCUUAGCAAGUCGGAAGUGAAAGCCCUCGGCUCAACCAAGGAAGUGCUUUCGAAACUGCUGAGCUUGAGUACUUAAGAGGAUCGCGGAAUUCCCGGUGUAGAGGUGAAAUUCGUAGAUAUCGGGAGGAACACCAAUGGCGAAGGCAGCUCGCUGGGACGUUACUGACGCUGGAGACGACGAAAGCGGUGGGGAGCAAACAGG
rnacentral:rRNA from 1 species